GCUUAUUUCCUCAUCUGUAAAAUGCUGUGUCCCAUCACAUGGACAAAAAGGUGCCAUUGACCACUUCAAAUGGUGCCACAUUAUUUUCAGUCCCAUAGAAGAACUUGGAAGACACAGCUUUACCUGAGGAUCUUGAAUGGCUCUUCUCAAAGCAACCAGGGCGAUGGAGAACGGUUUGUGGAGGUGGCUCUCCAUCGCAAUUAUGAACCGGUAAACCUAGAAGGGAAACUUCCUGCUACAAUAACACAGCAAGGCGAUGUGAUGAACACUUUUAUUUACAAAUAUAAUUAAAAGCUCUGACAGUUAUCAUGCUC